rnacentral:rRNA from 1 species
CCUACGGGCGGCAGCAGUGGGGAAUAUUGGACAAUGGGGGGAACCCUGAUCCAGCCAUGCCGCGUGUGUGAAGAAGGCCCUCGGGUUGUAAAGCACUUUCAGUGAGGAAGAACGCCUGGUGGUUAAUACCCAUCAGGAAAGACAUCACUCACAGAAGAAGCACCGGCUAACUCCGUGCCAGCAGCCGCGGUAAUACGGAGGGUGCGAGCGUUAAUCGGAAUUACUGGGCGUAAAGCGCGCGUAGGUGGCUUGAUAAGCCGGUUGUGAAAGCCCCGGGCUCAACCUGGGAACGGCAUCCGGAACUGUCAAGCUAGAGUGCAGGAGAGGAAGGUAGAAGUCCCGGUGUAGCGGUGAAAUGCGUAGAGAUCGGGAGGAAUACCAGUGGCGAAGGCGGCCUUCUGGACUGACACUGACACUGAGGUGCGAAAGCGUGGGUAGCAAACAGGAUUAGAUACCCUAGUAGUC